UACGUGAAACUGCUUAGAGGUUAAGCCCGAUGAGCCUGAAUAUCCAUUAUGGAAUAUUCAUCAUUAUACCAAAGAUAUUUAAUCAAUAUCAUUGUAAUAGUGUGCAUUUUUUCCAUAUAUAGGACAUUGUAAUCUAUUAACAUAAUAAUUAUUUAUCAAAAGAUCAUUGGCACAUGUUUAUUCAAAUUAAUUUGCUUGCAUUUUAACAUAGAAUAAAUGCCUGGUGAUUUGAUAAAGUGUUGAUAGAUUUAUUUUCAAUAAAUAUAGUGCUUAAAUUCUUUUGAAUUUUAUAAUGGCAUUUAAAUCAUGAUUUAGAUGUUUAAUUUAUAUGCACUUAUAUGAUUAACAAUGCGAAAGAUUCAGGAUACCUUCGGGACCCGUCUUGAAACACGGACCAAGGAGUCUAACAUAUGUGCAAGUCAUUGUGAAUUUGUGAAAACCCAAAGGCGUAAUUAACUUAACUAUAAUUUAAUGGGAUUCGUUUUUAGACUUUUUAGUUUAUUAAUUCAAUCCCGGGGCGUUCUAUACAGUUAUGUAGAUUUGGUAGUUCUCUACUAUUUAUACCUCUAACUAGAGCGUACCUUGAGCAUAUAUGCUGUGACCCGAAAGAUGGUGAACUAUACUUGAUCAGGUUGAAGUCA
rnacentral:rRNA from 1 species